rnacentral:misc_RNA from 1 species
GGCAUGAGAGGUCAUGGAGAA